CUGAGAGGAUGACCAGCCACACUGGAACUGAGACACGGUCCAGACUCCUACGGGAGGCAGCAGUGGGGAAUAUUGCACAAUGGGCGCAAGCCUGAUGCAGCCAUGCCGCGUGUAUGAAGAAGGCCUUCGGGUUGUAAAGUACUUUCAGCGGGGAGGAAGGGAGUAAAGUUAAUACCUUUGCUCAUUGACGUUACCCGCAGAAGAAGCACCGGCUAACUCCGUGCCAGCAGCCGCGGUAAUACGGAGGGUGCAAGCGUUAAUCGGAAUUACUGGGCGUAAAGCGCACGCAGGCGGUUUGUUAAGUCAGAUGUGAAAUCCCCGGGCUCAACCUGGGAACUGCAUCUGAUACUGGCAAGCUUGAGUCUCGUAGAGGGGGGUAGAAUUCCAGGUGUAGCGGUGAAAUGCGUAGAGAUCUGGAGGAAUAUCGGUGGCGAAGGCGG
rnacentral:rRNA from 1 species